UUAAAUGGGCGGGAACCGCGUGAGGUGCACACCCACCGGCAAUUGUGGGUGGAGCCUUGAGGGCUGGCGCUUCUCCAUGAUCAAGGCUCUUGUGUUGGGAAUCCCGGUUGUGGACGAGCUGGUUGACAAAACCUUUCAAUUGAUUUGUUCCUGCUCAAUGAUCACUUCGUGCUGUACCCAUGGCGAUGAGAGGGAGAAAGCGGAGCUCGAAUUUAAAAUUCGGCCCAGCGGUUGACACUGUGGAAGGUGGUUUUUAACUUAGCCACAGCCGGGAGGGCAAAUAUCAUCACUAUCACCAUUGGUACAGUGAAAGCUCAAACUGAGUUUUCUGAGAAGAAAAAUCCCACUUGACUGUAGAUAUUCAUUUACCAGGAUAGCAAAGCAUGAAGGUGAUGCAACAGGAGAAAUUGUGCGAUCUGUGGAUGACAGGAGAAAUCAUGUGCCUAGCCAAGAGGAAAAGGGAUGUGUACAUAAGAUCCAGGCAUCUGGAUUUGAGUGGGAGCAGCGUCGAAGUAAAAGCGAACCCGGGAGACUACAGCAAAGCAUCCCUUCUAGCCACUGCUCUCGAGCAGGGGAAACAUUGAGGCCAGAGUCGGGCGUCCAUUCACUAUCAUCAUGGAGGCACGAGAAAGCAGAUCAUCUGUUAAAUGGACUGCAAUCUGAGAGUUUUAAAACUACAUUUUACUUAGAAGGUAUGGAAAACAUCGACAACUUUC